UACGGAGGGUGCAAGCGUUGUUCGGAUUUACUGGGCGUAAAGGGUGCGCAGGCGGCCCCGCAAGUCAGACGUGAAAUCCCCGGGCUUAACUUGGGAAUGGCGUUUGAAACUACGGGGCUGGAGUGUGGCAGAGGGAGGUGGAAUUCCACGUGUAGCGGUGAAAUGCGUAGAGAUGUGGAGGAACACCGAUGGCGAAGGCAGCCUCCUGGGCCAACACUGACGCUCAUGCACGAAAGCGUGGGGAGCAAACAGG
rnacentral:rRNA from 1 species